rnacentral:rRNA from 1 species
UACCGCCUACGGGGGGCAGCAGUGGGGAAUAUUGCACAAUGGGCGAAAGCCUGAUGCAGCGACGCCGCGUGAGUGAAGAAGUAUUUCGGUAUGUAAAGCUCUAUCAGCAGGGAAGAAAAUGACGGUACCUGACUAAGAAGCCCCGGCUAACUACGUGCCAGCAGCCGCGGUAAUACGUAGGGGGCAAGCGUUAUCCGGAUUUAUUGGGUUUAAAGGGUGCGCAGGCGGUCUGUUAAGUCAGCGGUCAAAGCCCGGGGCUCAACCCCGGCCCGCCGUUGAAACUGGCAGUCUCGAGUUGGAGAGAA